AUACUCAAGCUUAGUUUUAGG
rnacentral:snRNA from 1 species